GACGAACGCUGGCGGCGUGCUUAACACAUGCAAGUCGAAGAAAGUGGCGAACGGGUGAGUAACACGUGGGUGACCUGCCCUGCACUUCGGGAUAAGCCUGGGAAACUGGGUCUAAUACCGGAUAGUGUGGGAUGGGCCCGCGGCCUAUCCGCUUGUUGGUGGGGUAAUGGCCUACCAAGGCGGCGACGGGUAGCCGGCCUGCGAGGGUGGACGGCGACAGUGGGACUGAGAGACGGAGCAGAAGCGUACGGGAGGCAGCAGGGGGGAAGAUUGCACAAUGGGGGGAAGCCUGAGGCAGCGACGCCGCGUGGGGGAUGACGGGCUGCGGGUGGGAAACGCCUUUCACCAUCGACGCGGUAGAUGGAGAAGAAGCACCGGCUAACUACGUGCCAGCAGCCGCGGUAAUAC
rnacentral:rRNA from 1 species